GACGAACGCUGGCGGCGUGCUUAACACAUGCAAGUCGAACGGAAAGGCCCUGCUGUUGUGGGGUGCUCGAGUGGCGAACGGGUGAGUAACACGUGAGUAACCUGCCCUUGAAUUUGGGAUAACUUCAGGAAACUGGGGCUAAUACCGGAUAGGAGCUCCUGCUGCAUGGUGGGGGUUGGAAAGUUUCGGCGGUUGGGGAUGGACUCGCGGCUUAUUAGCUUGUUGGUGGGGUAGUGGCUUACCAAGGCUUUGACGGGUAGCCGGCCUGAGAGGGUGACCGGCCACAUGGGGACUGAGAUACGGACCAGACUGCUACGGGAGGCAGCAGUGGAGAAUAUUGCACAAUGGGCGGAAGUCUGAUGCAGCAACGCCGCGUGCGGGAUGACGGGCUUCGGGUUGUAAACCGCUUUCGCCUGUGACGAGGCGUGAGUGACGGUAAUGGGUAAAGAAGCAACGGCUAACUACGUG
rnacentral:rRNA from 1 species